GGCAGGCUGUAGUCCUGUUUACAUGGGUUUAAAUCCUGUUUCUAUCA
rnacentral:tRNA from 1 species